rnacentral:rRNA from 1 species
UGGGGAAUAUUGCACAAUGGGCGCAAGCCUGAUGCAGCCAUGCCGCGUGUAUGAAGAAGGCCUUCGGGUUGUAAAGUACUUUCAGCGGGGAGGAAGGGAGUAAAGUUAAUACCUUUGCUCAUUGACGUUACCCGCAGAAGAAGCACCGGCUAACUCCGUGCCAGCAGCCGCGGUAAUACGGAGGGUGCAAGCGUUAAUCGGAAUUACUGGGCGUAAAGCGCACGCAGGCGGUUUGUUAAGUCAGAUGUGAAAUCCCCGGGCUCAACCUGGGAACUGCAUCUGAUACUGGCAAGCUUGAGUCUCGUAGAGGGGGGUAGAAUUCCAGGUGUAGCGGUGAAAUGCGUAGAGAUCUGGAGGAAUACCGGUGGCGAAGGCGGCCCCCUGGACGAAGACUGAUGCUCAGGUGCGAAAGCGUGGGGAGCAAACA